rnacentral:rRNA from 1 species
UUUACUGAGAGUUUGAUCCUGGCUCAGGAUGAACGCUGGCGGUGUGUUUUAGGCAUGCAAGUCGAGCGACGGCCCUUCGGGGCACGGAGCGGCAGACGGGUGAGUAACGCGUAGGAACGUACCUCAAAGUGGAGAAUAACUCAUCGAAAGGUGGGCUAAUACUGCAUAGUCUCGCGCUUCGCGCGAGUAAAGGGUGUAACUACCCGCUUUGAGAGCGGCCUGCGUCCUAUCAGCUUGUUGGUGAGGUAAUGGCUCACCAAGGCAACGACGGGUAGCCGAUGUGAGAGCAUGAUCGGCCACAGGGUCACUGAGACACGGGGCCCACGCCUACGGGCGGCAGCAACCGAGAAUCUUGCGCAAUGGGCGAAAGCCUGACGCAGCGACACCGCGUGGGGGAUGACAGCCUAUCGGGUUGUAAACUCCUUUUAUAUGGGAAGAAGAUCUGACGGUACCAUAUGAAUAAGCACCUGCAAACUACGUGCCAGCAGCCGCGGUAAUACGUAGGGUGCGAGCGUUAUCCGGAUUUAUUGGGCGUAAAGGGUUUUGUAGGCGGUUUGGUAAGUCAUGUGUUAAAGCCUCCGGCUCAACUGGAGAACGGCAUAUGAUACUGCUAAACUAGAGGGUUGGAAGGGUCGUUGGAACGCUUGGUGUAGGGGUGAAAUCCGUUGAUAUCAAGCAGAACACCGAGGGCGAAGGCAGACGACUGGACAACCUCUGACGCUAAGGAACGAAAGCUUGGGGAGCAAACCGGAUUAGAGACCCGGGUAGUCCAAGCCGUAAACGAUCCUCGCUAGAUUUUCCUGAUUUAUUUUGGGAGAGUCGUAAGCUAACGCGUUAAGCGAGGCGCCUGGGGAGUACGGCCGCAAGGCUAAAACUCAAAGGAAUUGGCGGGGGAGCGCACAACCAGUGGAGCAUGUGGUUUAAUUCGAUACGAAGCGUAGGACCUUACCUGGACUUGACAUUUCAAUGACCGCUAUUGAAAGAUAGCUUUCUUUUAGACAUUGAAACAGCUGCUGCAUGGCUGUCGUCAGUUCGUGUCGUGAGACGUCCGCUUAAGUGCGGUAACGAACGCAACCCCCAUCCUGUGUUAUAUUUCACAGGAAACUGCCCUCGUUGAACGAGGGAGGAAGGAGGGGAAGACGUCAAGUCAGCAUGGCGCUUACGUCCAGGGCGACACACAUCCUACAAUGGAGAGGACAAUGAGUUGCAAAGCCGCAAGGCGGAGUUAAUCUCUUAAACCUUUCCUCAGUUCAGAUUGUGGGCUGAAAUUCGCCCACAUGAAGUUGGAAUUGGUAGUAAUCGCGGGUCAGCAGACCGCGGUGAAUACGUUCUCGCUCCUUGCACACACUGCCCGUCAAGUGAGGAAAGUCGGAAGUGCCUGAAGGGUCUCGCCUUUAUGGUAGGAAACUAAGGCAAGUUCGGCGAUCAGCGCUAAGUCGUAACAAGGUAUCUGUACUGGAAGGUGCAGAUGGAUCACCUCCUUU